rnacentral:rRNA from 1 species
GACGGGGGAUGCAAGUGUUAUCCGGAAUCACUGGGCGUAAAGCGUCUGCAGGUGGUUUCCUAAGUCCACUGUUAAACCUUGAGGCUCAACCUCAAAUCUGCAUUGGAAACUAGGAGACUUGAGUAUAGUAGGGGUAGAGGGAAUUUCCAGUGGAGCGGUGAAAUGCGUAGAUAUUGGAAAGAACACCGAUGGCGAAGGCACUCUACUGGGCUAUUACUGACACUCAGAGACGAAGGCUAGGGGAGCAAAUGGG